rnacentral:rRNA from 1 species
UACAGAGGUCCCAAGCGUUGUCCGGAUUCAUUGGGCGUAAAGGGUGCGUAGGCGGCGCGGUAAGUCGGGUGUGAAAUCUCGGGGCUUAACUCCGAAACUGCAUUCGAUACUGCCGUGCUUGAGGACUGGAGAGGAGACUGGAAUUUACGGUGUAGCGGUGAAAUGCGUAGAUAUCGUAAGGAAGACCAGUGGCGAAGGCGGGUCUCUGGACAGUUCCUGACGCUGAGGCACGAAGGCCAGGGGAGCAAACGGG